GAAGGUUUAUUACGGAGUAUCAAACUAUGUAAAUCAAACCGCGUGUCAGCUUCUAGGCAGAAACAAAAGAGGAGUGACAACGAAGAAGGCGUGCAAUCCAAUUUGCAGUACCGAGGAGGUCGAUCCUGGAAAAUUCGUCAGAAAGUGUGAGAAAACCGAGCAGAUACUCAACGAUUGCGUCGGAAAGAAAGAAGGUAUGUAUGUGAGUUUGAAGAUGGGAAAAUGUGUUGAAGCAAGGGGAGCUUAUAUAAUGGACCGUACGGCCGUAUAUUGACAGAUUAUGAAGAUGGUGCAUGAUUUAGGUUAGUAAAGUACGGGAAGUACGGAAUUGUAGUUUAAGAACAAGUGGUUAUUACUUUAAUUUAAUUUUAAUUUGAGUUCAGACAUUGAGUCGUAUUUGACAACUUAUCAACACGUCGAUCAUGUGGAUGAUAAUAAUUAUAGCUGUGAUAUGAUAUGCAUAUUCGCAUAUCACAAACAAUAUAAUAAAUCCAUGGUGUUUUGGGUAA